UCAGAUUUUACUACAGUGCAAGGAGGUUAGUGAUCCUAUGCAGCCUUUCAGAAACCUCAGACCUGGAGCACUGAGCCACCACCAGCAGCCAAGAAGAGUCAAAGAACCAAAGAUUUUAUCUCACCUGCGGUGAUUGAAUCAAUCUGUCUCCUUGAAGGACAAGACCAAUUUGAUUGGCUGGCAGUGUUGACUAAGAGGCGAGCCUUCAAGCAUAAAAGCUGAGAAUAAUGGGAAACAUGACAGAUCUAAGGGAAAGAAAAAAGAAAAGGCGAGAGAAGGAAGAGAGUGGUGUGAUUAGAGGCAGUAAUGGGGGCAGGGAGCAUCAGAUCCUCUGACUCCUUGGACCAGUGACAGGGAUGAAAGCAAAGCAGAGGAAAAACAGCAGCCAGCUGAAUAGUGGUGACAUAAAGGAUUGAAAAAAACAUUUUUAAGCCCUUAUGAAAUCAUGGAUUUUAUGCUAGGGCAGCAGCAGUUGGAAUGCAAGGCAGUUUCCAUUAGCGUGACCAUUUUGUCUUGGCUCAUUAGAUAAGAGGGAAAAAAGAAAGUCUUUGACCACAUGGAAAGGGAAACUGACCAGAUGGACAGUUUUCUCAAAGGAACGUUGCUUAGAAAUUAUUUUUUCUUGCUCCAAAUCUGGGGACAAGUUAAACAGCCUAAUUUCACCUGAUGAAAACAGAGACUAGAUCAUUAAAGCCCUGGUGUCAGUAGAAACAGAGCUGUGAGACUGAGCAGACCAGAGAGAGUAUGUUACUAAACCAAGCCUCCUGACUGUGGGGUCACACACCUAUGGCUCUUGCUUAGACGGGCAAAGAUGGCUUCAGGUAUAACGGGAAAGUCCAGUGACCUCGCAGCCUUAGUAAUGCUAAGGUAACCACGAUUACUGUUUCUCGAGCACUUACUGUGUGCCAGGUCCUGUGGAAAAUAUGCUCUGUGUUUUCUCAUUUAAUACUUGUGCUGCUAGUCUCUGUUUGGCCCCUCAACCCCUUCUCUAAGCCAUCUCUGCCCUGCCCUGUGUGCCUGGAAGCUCCUCCAGGCUGCACCUCCCAGGCUUGCUCGUCUUCUUUUUUUUUGGCUGCGUUGGGUCUUUGUUGCUGUGCGCGGGCUUUCUCUAGUUGCAGCGAGCCAGGGCUACUCUUUGUUGCAUUGCAUGGGCUUCUCAUUGCAGUGGCUUCUCUUGUUGCAGCACGCAGUUCCUAGAACACGCGGGCUUCAGUAGUUGUGGUGCACGGGCUCAGUAGUUGUGGCUCGCGGGCUCUAGAGUGCAGGCACAGUAGUUGUGGCACACGAGCUUAGUUGCUCUGCAGCAUGUGGGAUCUUCCUGGACCAGGGAUCGAACCUGUGUCCCCUGCAUUGGCAGAAAGAUUCUUAACCACUGCGCCACCAGGGAAGUCCCUCGCUUGUCUUCUGAUUAUCAUUUCCAUUCAACCAGUGGGUAGCACCAGCAGGUGAUUGGAGGGUGGGAUGAGAGAGAUGCUGGGAUAGUUCUUCCUAGCUCUCUCCAUGUUUCAAGUGACAUCUCCAGCCUUAGCUGUGUCCCUCCACACUAUAGCCCCUUAGGGCUGCACCUCUUCCACACUUCCGGUUCUCAGUGGGCUCAGGUCACGCUAUUCCUCCCUUUGUCCUUUCAGCCUUAGGGAUGGUAAAGACUUCCUACUACUGCUCGUCUCUGGGUGCCUCAACAACCCUGUCUGUUCCCUCGUCCUUGCUCACACCUCUGUGAGUAAUCCGUUCAUUUGAACAAUGUAAGGUGAAAUCAGUUUCCUACCAGGACCUGACCAAUACAAUCCUUAAAACAAACUGAAGUAUGAUUUCCCCUAUUUUACCUAGUGCAAAGAGGCACGGUAGCUUGUCCAGCAUCACACACCAAACAAAGCCAUACCUGUAUAUUCCAAAGCCUGCAUGUUUAAUCACAUCACAUUGCCCAGCCUCUCCGUGUAACCAGAAUGAUCCCUUUGGAAUUGAGAAGACCCGAGGACUGUCAAGUGGCCAAUAGACAAGUGAGCCCUUGCAAAGCUGAGAUAACGAUCCUCAGAAGAAGCAGCAAAGACUGAUGUAGGCCAGCAGUUAGUCUAGCACGUAGGGAAUGGAGCCACCCACAGAGUGUGCCAAGUGAGGAAUGCAUUGCAGUGUCCAGGUGUGCAGUUCCUCAGUUUCCCAAUUCAUUUGUUGAAAUCUCCACGGUGGGAGAUGAGGUAGAAAGAUAGGAACUGCAGAAAAAGCCUUAGGUAGAUAGUACAUUUGAGCCUUGAACGAGAAGGGGACUAGGGGCCCCAGACCUCCCAGCAUACAGGAAAAUCCGGAUAUAACUUACAGUCAGCCCUCCAUAUACUUCAUUCCUCCAGAUCUACGGUUCCUCUGUAUCUGUGAUUCCACAUCUGCAGAUUCAACCAACCAUAGAUCAAGUAGCACUGUCGUAUUUACUAUUGAAAACUAUCCACAUAUAAGCGGACUUGCACAGUUCAAAUCCUUGUUGUUCAAGGGUCAACUGUACACAAUGGCCAUAGCAUCCUUGCAGCUAGCAUACAUUUAGAGAACUACUUGAGAUGGCAAAGACUCGCCAAGCAGGCGUGGGAUGCAAGAGUUGGUAGAGGCAGGGGUGGGAGGAAGAAGUACAAAACGAUGUUAGCCAGAGCCAUGCCAGGCUGAAAUCUGGCUUCUAGCCACUCAUAGGUGGGAGACUUGACUAAUUCUAAGUGAGGAAGGAUUGGUGGUUAGGCAAGAGAACAUCUUUGUGAUUUACAUAUUGCCAUUAGUCAUUCACGUGUGUACACUCACAUUUUGUUCAAACACAGUCAUAUUUUUGUUCCUCUUGAUUCCUUAGUUACCAUAGUGCACGAUCACUGAGCUCUACUCGGGUAUGGGGUAACUUGACAACUGAACUUGGGAGACCUAACCAGUCACGCAUCAAAGUCUUGGAACAUUGUAACUGGAUUGAAUUGCCAGCCACCAGUUAGUUCAGUCCAAUCUAGCAAGUGUUUAUUGGGCUUGUUCAUUGUUUUGGGUACUUGGCUGUGUGGUAACCACCUUCCAAGAUGGCUCCCAAUGGUCCCUAUCGCCUGGCAUUUAUGCCCUGUGUCAUAUGCUCCCAGGAUUUGUUUGUGUGACCAGUGGAACACAGCAGAUGUGAUGGCAUGUCCCUCCUGAGAUCAGAUUAUAAAAGACACUGCAGCUUCUGUCUUGGUCACUCUUACUCUCUCUUGGGAGGAGCCAUGUUGUGAGCAGCCUUGUAGAGAGAACCACAUGGAAAGAGACCGGUGCCUCCUGGCAAUGGACACAUGAGUGGAGUUGGAAGCAGACCUUGCAGCUCCAGUCAAGUUUCCAAAGGCUGCAACUCUGGCUGACAGCAUGAUUAACAACCUCAUGAGAGAUCCUGAGCCAGAAAAGCUGCACCCAAAUUCUAAACCCUCAUAAAACGCAGCCAGUUAUUCUACUAGCAAAAUGGGUUUAUUCAGGAACAGUAAAAAAUUGCAAUUCAGGACACGCAAUCUAUGGCAAAUCACAGGCAGAUUCGGAGAACACAAGAGAGGACCUUUUUGUUUUAUAGAGGAGAAGGGGGACGGGCUGUUGUAAACAAGAGUCCAUUGGAGGAAACUGAGAGUUUGAAGUAUAGUGGAGUUUCAUUGGCUGAGUUGUGACAGUCUCUCAUUGGCUGGGCUGUUGCCAGGCAAGGAGAAAUUCUUCCUUCCUCCUACUGGGUAGUAAUGUAACUUUCUUCCUGUUGUAACUGCAAAGGUACAUGUCUUCCAGUUGGGUCUGCAAUUGAUUUACAGUGGUACAGCAUGAGAGCUCCCCCUUCUGGACCUCCUCAAAUUUUUUUUUUGCGUGGUGUGCUGAGUUGGGUCUUCGUUGCUGUGCGCGGGCUUUUCUCCAGUUGCGGCGAGCAGGGGCUACUCUUCGCUGCGGAGCGCGGGCUUCUCACUGCGGUGGCUUCUCUUGUUGCGGAGCACGGGCCUAGGCGCGUGGGCUUCAGUAGUCGCGUUACGUGGGUUCUAGAGCGCAGGCUCAGUAGUUGUGGUGCACGGGCUUAGUUGCUCUGCGGCAUGUGGGAUCUUCCGGGACCGGGGCUCGAACCCUGCAUUGGCAGGAGGAUUCUUAACCACUGCGCCACCAGGGAAGUCCCUGGACCUCCUCAUUUUCAAUGAGGUUUCUAUUUAUAGGCAAACCUCAUUUCAUUGUGCUUCACUUUAUUUUGCUUUGCACAUAUUGUGUUUUUUACAAGUUGAAGGUUUGUGGCAACGCUGAGUUGAAUAAGUCUAUCAGUGCCAUUUUUCCAACAUUUGCUCACUUCCUGUCUCUGUGUCACAUUUUGGCAAUUCUCAAACUAUUUCAAACUUUUUCAUUAUUAUCGUAUUUAUUAUGGUGAUCUGUGAUUAGUGAUCUUUGGUCUUUGAUGUCACUACUGUGACUCGCUGAAGGCUCAGAUGAUAGUUAAUAGUGAGCAUUUUUUAGCAAUAAAGUCUUUUUAAAUUAAGGUAUGUACAUUGUUCUUUCAGACGUGAUGCUAUUGCGCACUUAGUAGACUACAGUAUAAUGUAAACAUAACUUUUAUAUGAACUGGGAAACCGAAAAUUUUGUGUGACUCACUUUAUUUCAAUAUUUGCUUUACUGUGAUAGUCUGCAACCAAACCCACAAUAUCUCUGGGGUAUGCCUAUAUUAAUUUUCACAGAAAUAACUGUUCAUUGUUUUUGACAUUACGAUUUGAAGCAAUUUGUUAUGCUCUUGAAAAUUUUACAUUUGGUUACCCAGACAUUGGUCAUUCAACUGUUUUCUGAACAGAUGAUGUCUCCAAUUUGAACGUUAUCUGGUAAACAAGAUGUGCAAUGACCAAAUAUAUAUUUUUAUGCAGAAAACGUUUCUGAGAUAUAUUGAGUGAAAAAAAUCAGGUUGUAUAGUACGAUCCUGUUUAUUACAAGCCUAUUUAAAAAAUAAAUUUAAGACUCUAUUUCUAUUAUAUAGAUAAUAAGUGCUCAAUGUAGAAAAUUAGAAAAUACACAUAAGCAGACAUAAUUAAUAGAUAAUCAAGUUGAACCAUUAUCUUGCUAUUCAACGAUAAGAAUUAUUAACAAGUCAGUAUAUCAGGAGACAGUAUAGUAUAGUGAAAUUAACACUGGCUUAGAUACAGGUUGACCUAAAUAUGUGUCCCAAGUUGACCAGCUCCCAGAAAUUAUUUUACCUUUUGGUGCCUCAGAUUCCCCAUCUGUAAAAUGGAGAUAACAAUAGCACUUUCUUCAUAGGCUUUUUGUGAGGAUUAUAAAGAAUAAUGCAUAUAAAGUGCUCUGGGAGUCGUUUUCACUAUUAUCCUUCCAGAUCUUUUGAUAUGCAUAUAUACAUUUAAUAUAAAAUCAGAUUGUACUAUACAUAUUGAUUUGUAACCUGUUUGUCCACUUAAUAAUAUAUGACAAAUAUCUUUUUAGUUAUCCCAUGUUCAUGGAUUAGAAGAAUUAACAUUGUUAAAAUGUCCAUUCUACCCAAAGCAAUCUACAAAUCAAUGCAAUUCCUAUCAAAAUUCCAAUGGCAUUUUUCACAGAAAUAGAAAAAACAAUCCUAAAAUUCAUAUGGAACCAGAAAAGACCCCAAAUAGCCAAAACAAUUUUAAACAAGGAGAACAAAGGUGUAGGCAUCAUACAUCCUGAUUUCAAUAUACAUUACAAAGCUACAGUAAUCAAAACAUUAUGGUACUAGCAUAAAAACAUAGCUAUAGACCAAUGAAACAGAAUAGAGAGCCCAGAAAUAAAAACAUGAAUACAUGGUCAACUGAUCUUCAACAAAGGUGCCAAGAACACACAAAAUGGAAAGGAUAGUCUCUCAAUAAAUGGUGCUUGGAAAAUUGGAUAUCUGCAUGCAGAAGAAUGAAGUUGGACCCUUAUCCCACACCCACCCCACCCCAUUUUUGCCUUAUCUCUCUAGCCCACUUUUUUUCUGGUCUCUGGUCAGAAGAGCAACCUGUCUGUAACAUCAAUGCCUCACAGUGGAUCUAGGCUGUCAUACACCACUGCCCACAGCUUUGCUGGUGCUGGUUCAGCCAAGAAGGGUUCUAACUCUAGAGUGAGCUGGACCACAAAAUCCCCAGAAGAAAAAGGAAGUUACGCCCUUGGAAGCAAGAAGAAACAGCAGCCACAGACAUGCAAGCUCCCCAGGUCUUCACAGGUGGGGUACAGCGGGGACUAGAAACAGAGAGAGAGGAAGAGGAUGCCAGUUUGGAGCCAAAUCACAAUCACGUCUCAGGCUUAAGCAUAUCCCUUUGCUUAUCUUCUUGCAAGUCCUUGGUCAGUUCUCAAGCCCAUUCCCCGGAGCAGCUAUUUCAAAGCACCAUCACUUCCCCA